ACUCCGUUCCUGCCUAUAAAAAGCCAUUCCACACAAAACCCAUUCACAACAUUUUUUUAUUUUUCAUUUUUUUUAAUCUAAAAGCCCUCAACAAGCCCAUUUUCUCUACUAAAAAGAGGACUCAUAUCUCUAGUUUGUUCGUGGAUCUGACGCCAUCACAACCGUUCAUUUCACGACCAUCCAAUGGCGUUAGAUUCACGCACAAACUCGCGAUCUGUCUCCUCUAAACACCAUAUUGCUCCUUUUUGGCGCCGCCUAUUCCGAUUUUACUUUGAUAUUUUCCCUCCCUAGUUAACAUCGACACUUUCAAUUAAUCUUUCCAUAACAGAUUUUGAAAGUCAAAAGAGAAAAGAUCAGAGAGAUUCAGAAGUAAUCAGAUCAUGGAUACGGAGGAAUCAACGAGCGUGAUGGAUGAUUAAGAGACGUUGAUUUCGUCGACCGCUGUUGAGCUCUUGAAAAGAGCGUGGCGUCACGAGAAAUCUGCUCCGGAGAUUCUUCAGUUUAAGGCUUCUUUAGUUCAAAGAAUUAAAGAGCAUAUCGAAUUAGUGGAACAAAAUGUGGAAAUAUUUGAAGCAAAUAAUAUAGAUCCUCACUGUCUCGCUUUACCAAAUGGACUUUGGAUAGAACUCAAUUUUUGUUGAGAUCGUAUUUUCGGUUCGCCUUCAAAAGGUAGCAAGUUCUUGUGUUUUGUUACGGUGUGUCCGGAGAGUAUGUUGAAGUUGAUUUGCUUGUUGGGUUCCGAAUGCAGAUUGAGAAGUAUUUAUUCUAUAUUUUGAAAACUGAUGAGUAUCUAAACCGGCUUUCUAAGCAGGAGCAAAUGUUUGCUAGAAGGUGCACGGAUGAUUUGGGAAGGCAUCUUGACGAUACUGUUUUGGCAAAGUUGCCUGAUAAUUACCCGUCCAUGUUAAAGCAAUCUAUUACCAGUGAAGAGGAUGAUAUGGGUACUCAAUUCUUCUCUAAAUCGUUUCUACAUUUGUUUUGAAGUGUUGAAACAUUAUUGUCAUUUACUAAGUAUGUAUGCAUGUAUGGUUCCAGAGCUAUGUACUCUUCAAUCUCAUGUGGUGAUGCCGGUUGUAUAUUGACCCAUAACAUGCAGAUAUUUUUAUAUUUUGUUUGGAAGCUUGUGAGGUAGCUUUGCCUGGUAACCCUUUCGUUCCUUAGUUGGCAUUUUCAAUCAUUAUCGAAGAAGCUCAAGCUAUUUGUUGUGUUUGGAAUAUGCAAAUGGAAUAUAGAAAUUGUUUACAUUUUCCAAUAAGCAUUUUGUAGAAAUCCUAAUAUUCUUGGCAAGAGAAUAUUUAUCUGCUUUUGUAAAAAAAAAAUUGUUUUACCUGUAAUUUUCACAAUCUAAGUGACAAAGGAAGGAUUUCUAGUAUAGUCAGCCAUUCUAUCAUCGGAUGCACCCAACUAUUGCUCUCAUAAUGUAUUGAUGUUAUUUUGUGAUGAUGAUGUUAAUACGGUCUGGUUAAUGCUUGAAACGUGAUUGUGAAACCAGACCUAAGAAUGCAAUUAGCUCGAACAUUGCUGAAAUUGCUGCUUAAGUUCCUUGAGAUACUGGCCCUGUAAGUUGCAAUGCACUUAAAGCAGUGAACGAUGUCCACAUCACAUGCCUUGUUACUCGGAAAGGCAUCUAAAUUCUUGGCACCGAGGAGUAGUGUUCUCUUAUUGAGCUUUUUGUGUCCAUGCUUUGUCCUGUCAUUUUAUCCUGGAAUUGAUGGUUUACUUGCUAAUUUGCAUAUGUAUUCUGUCUGUGCCUUUGAAUCUUUCUGCUCACUGAAUUGUAUUUUGGUGUUUGAAUUUGACUACUUUUUCACUAUUAGUCGUUUCCAAAUAAGGUUGUCACCGUCUUUCUAACACUAUAUGAUCACUAACAACACUACGGAUGAUUUGGAAAGUCAUCUUAAUGAGACUGUUCUGUCAAAUCUGCUGACAUUUACCGGUCCAUAUAAAGCAAUCAAUUAGUGAAGAGUGUAAUAUGGCCAGCCCUUACUUUCAUUUAGCCAUCUAGUUUGUAUAUUUACCACGGCUGGACACAUUCGUUAUCUGCGAAGCCAAGCAAUAUCUUUGUAGCCUUGACUUUGAGCCUGGGUACAGCAUGAAAAUCACAGAGAUGGAGCGUGAUUUACUUACCUUCGUAUGUUACAAGUUCAUAAAGAAGCCUUUGGAGAAUGGGAAAAUAGGUUUGAUGUAAGCAAUCCUGCUGCUCUGGGUCAAUUCAUUGCUAGACCAACGAGCCAGAAAUUAAGGAUGGCUGAGUACUUCAGUGUCUGAGCAGGAUGUGGCAGUUGAUGGUGUCUCUCAUGACGCUCAUGAAUGCGAUGCCAAACGUCUUGUAAUAUUGAUUUUGAGUCAAGUGUCUCGUGUUUUAGUUAUACAUAAUAAUGUCUUUUAACUAUGGAUUGAUUUUACAAAUGAUUUGCCGAACAGUUUUUAGUU